rnacentral:lncRNA from 1 species
UUUCAUUGCCUCAAGGAUCAUUGGACACCUUGCUUCCUUCCCUGUGGGUGGGCUAUCCCUUUGAGUGGUUCUUGAUCACCAAGCAUUCAUUUCAUUUUUAUAUCAUUGUUUUUCUUUUUAUCACUAACCAAAAAGUACAAAAAUAUGUCAUCUAACCUUUGUCUUGCAGAUGAAGCAAUCUACAGUCAAGGCAAUUCAAAGCAUUCAUUG